rnacentral:rRNA from 1 species
CCUACGGGAGGCUGCAGUGAGGAAUAUUGGUCAAUGGACGCAAGUCUGAACCAGCCAUGCCGCGUGCAGGAAGACGGCUCUAUGAGUUGUAAACUGCUUUUGUACGAGGGUAAACGCAGAUACGCGUAUCUGUCUGAAAGUAUCGUACGAAUAAGGAUCGGCUAACUCCGUGCCAGCAGCAGCGGUAAUACGGAGGAUUCAAGCGUUAUCCGGAUUUAGUGGGUUUAAAGGGUGCGUAGGCGGUCGGAUAAGUUAGAGGUGAAAUCCCGAGGCUCAACUUCGGAAUUGCCUCUGAUACUGUUCGGCUAGAGAGUAGUAGCGGUAGGCGGAAUGUCUGGUGUAGCGGUGAAAUGCUUAGAGAUCAUACAGAACACCGAUUGCGAAGGCAGCUUACCGGGCUACUUCUGACGUUGAGGCACGAAAGCGUGGGGAGCAAACAGGAUUAGAUACCCGGGUAGUC